UAUGGUAUUGAAGCUGUGCUUAGCCUCACAGUCAUCAGUGUAAAGUGAGUAGAGCAGGGGGCUAAGCACACAGCCUUGUGCUGUACCUGUGCUGAUGGAGAUCGUGGAGGAGAAGUUGUUGGAAAUCCUAACUGACUGGGCUGUGCAAGAAGGUUUCCCAUUGUGAACCGGUAUCCUCCCACAUCCCGGAGCUGUGCCAGCUGCUCAUGCUGCUGCCUCACAGUCCCAGGGUCCCAGGUUCAAUCCCGGCCUCGGGUACUGUCUGUGUAGAGUCUGCAUGCUUUCCCUGAGACCAUGAAAGGUUCAACUGAGUGAUCUGGUUUCCUCUCACAUCCCAAAAACGUUCUGCAAGUUUAACAGGGUGUCAUCAAUUACUCCAUGUUGAGAUCUGAAGGGAUGCAAACAUGGAAGUUCGACAUUCUUCAUCCCAAGCUGCCUGACUUGCUGAUUUUUGUCAGGUUUCCAACAUAUGCAAAGUUCUUUUUUUUUGUCGAAAGGGCAAAGUCUGCUGAUGUCUCAAAAAUUGAAGAUCAACAAAGGAAAUCGAUGAAACCAAAGACUGAUCAAUUACACAAAAGGGCAGCAGCUGCCACGUAAAGUACCGUCAAAGGGUUGGUGUUCACUGUUGGACAAAAUAAGGCUUACGACAGCAUUAGGGUUCUUCUGAAGACCCUGACCUGGAGAUACACACUGACUUCAGUUCUUUGCAGGAAUGGGACCCGUUCUCGGGGUUUCAGGACUGGCCGUUGUUCGGCACACCAAGGGUUCGGCCUGAGAGUCCGGCUCGAAUUUGGAAGCCUAAGAUCUCAGGGCACUGGAGAUGGGUGGAUGGGAGAUGGGUGUCACAGCAGGAGACUCGUGUGUCGGAGAAUCUAUUGCUGUGGGCCCGAAGACUCAGGAUCUUAGCGAUCUUCAGGCACAGAGCUCGAAAAAAGCGAUGUAAUGGACUUUUAACAUCAUAAACCCGCAAGUUGUUUGUUAUGUCUCCCCGCUGGCUGGGAAAAUGGGGACAUCUUCUCCCUUAUUAGGGAGAGAGGGAGCCAGUGGUAUGUCGAAUGUCGGGUGAAAUGCAAAGUCUCUGUGGUAACUGCAAGUCUGUGCCUUUGCACACGAUGAGUGCUCGGUGGCAGUGACAAUGCUUGCUUUU